GACGAACGCUGGCGGCGUGCUUAACACAUGCAAGUCGAGCGGAAAGGCCCUUUCGGGGGUACUCGAGCGUCGAACGGGUGAGUAACACGUGAGUAAUCUGCCCCUGGCUUUGGGAUAACCACCGGAAACGGUGAUUAAUACCGGAUACGACCACUUUUCGCAUGGGCUGGUGGUGGAAAGUUUUUCGGCCAGGGACGUUCUCGCGGCCUUUCAGCUUAUUGGUGAGGUAAUGGCUCACCAUGGCUUCGACGGGUAGCCGGCCAGAGUGGGUGAUCGGUCGAACUGAGACUGAGACACGGCCCAGACUCCUACGGGAGGCAGCAGUGGGGAAUAUUGGACAAUGGGCGGAAGCCUGAUCCAGCAACGCCGCGUGAGGGAUGACGGCCUUCGGGUUGUAAACCUCUUUCAGCAGGGACGAAGCGCAAGUGACGGUACCUGCAGAAGAAGCACCGGCCAACUACGUGCCAGCCGCCGCAGUAA
rnacentral:rRNA from 1 species